rnacentral:rRNA from 1 species
AGCUAGCCCAGAAACCACCAUAUUUCAACUAUUUUAAAACUAUUAAACAAAACAUUUAUUCCUCUUUUAAAGUAUAGGAGAUAGAAAUUUAUUUAUUGGCGCUAUAGAGAGAGUACCGUAAGGGAACGAUGAAAGAAUACCUAAAAGUAAUAAAAAGCAAAGAUUAACCCUUGUACCUUUUGCAUAAUGAUUUAACUAGAAAAUUUUAGCAAAGAGAACUUAAGUUAAAUGCCCCGAAACCAGACGAGCUACUUGUGAACAGCCUACGGAGCGAACUCGUCUAUGUGGCAAAAUAGUGAGAAGAUUUGCAAGUAGAGGUGACAAGCCUAACGAGCCUGGUGAUAGCUGGUUGUCCAGGAAAAGAAUGUAAGUUCAACUUUAAAAAUACCUAAAAAACCGCUAAUUUUAAUGUAUUUUUAAAAGCUAGUCUAAAAGGGUACAGCUUUUUAGAUCGAGGAUACAACCUUACUUAGAGAGUAAAAACAACCAACACCAUAGUUGGCUUAAAAGCAGCCAUCAAUUAAGAAAGCGUUCAAGCUCAACAUUAAACAAAGUUUUAAUUCCAAUAGUCAACAAGGAACUCCUAACCCAAUACUGGACUAAUCUAUUAAUUAAUAGAGCAUAAUGUUAAUAUGAGUAACAGAAAUAUUUCUCCUGCAUAGCUGAUGUCAGCACGGAUAUUCUACUGACAGUUAACACUUUAUAAAUUUAACCCUAACCCACCAAUGAACAAUUUAUUAAAUUUACUGUUAACCCAACACAGGCAUGCAUUAAGGAAAGAUUAAAAGAAGCAAAAGGAACUCGGCAAACACGAGCCCCGCCUGUUUACCAAAAACAUCACCUCUAGCAUUACUAGUAUUAGAGGCACUGCCUGCCCAGUGACAUUAGUUAAACGGCCGCGGUAUCCUGACCG